UCAUCUCCUCGCAAUCUUCCUCCUUUUUGUGAUGCCUAGCACUCCACGAACGAAGUCGAAAGCCAACACUGCCCUUCCUAAACGGAUCUGGAAGUCCCUCUUCCCUUUCAGUUGCUAAACACAUCCCAGAUUAACGGCUACCAAGUUCUCAUGGACAAACAGCCUGAGCCUGUGGCAAUUCACAAAUCACAUGUUAACAUUCCCUUGCCUUGAGUGAGAAACUGAGAAGAGAACCCAGUCCAGGUCGUCGAUAGUCGAUACCGAGACAUGGCCCUGUUUUCUUCCAAUUCCUUGCUCGGAAUCCUCAACCCAUUCCCGCCGUUUACUACCAAAUCAGGAGAUAAGUGUAAAUGGGUCUUCUCCGCCAUUUUUAUGAAUGGCAGUCGUAAAGGGGUAAAGUUGCAUAUAGAAUCCAGUAUUACAAUGUCUACUUCUCCAACUCCCCAGACUUAUCAGCAAUCCAAGCAGGUCUGGAUAUGGACCGAAAGCAAGCAAGUUAUGACAACUGCAGUCGAGAGAGGCUGGAAUACCUUCAUUUUCUCAUCUUCCGAUAGAGCACUCGCCGACGAGUGGUCGUCAAUAGCAUUAAUAUAUCCUCUAUUCAUUGAAAAUGGCAUGCUUUUGGAUGGUGAGAAUAGAAGAGUUGCCACACUUUCUGAGGUUUCUUCACCUCAACAACUACAAGAGCUUCAACCAGCAGAUGAACUGACAGAGAACAUAGUUGUACAUUUGCCAGACUGGCAGGUCAUACCUGCAGAGAAUAUUGUUGCAGCAUUCCAAGGCAGUCAGAAAACGGUCUUUGCAAUCUCAAAAACUCCCUCUGAAGCACAAACUUUCCUUGAGGCUCUGGAACAUGGUUUGGGUGGAGUUGUUUUAAAAGUUGAGGAUUUUGGAUCUGUUCUUGAACUAAAGGCCUAUUUUGACAGAAGAAAUGAAGUAAGGAAUUUGUUGAACUUGACCAAGGUCACCAUAACACGAAUUCAAGCAGCUGGAAUGGGUGAUCGUGUAUGUGUGGAUCUUUGUAGCCUCAUGAGGCCUGGCGAAGGACUUCUGGUUGGGUCAUUCGCUAGGGGGCUUUUCCUUGUUCACUCAGAAUGCUUGGAAUCAAAUUAUAUUGCUACCAGGCCUUUCCGAGUAAAUGCAGGUCCAAUACAUGCUUACAUUGCCAUUCCAGGAGGAAAGACUUGCUAUCUUUCAGAGUUGCAGACAGGUAAAGAGGUUAUUGUGGUUGAUCAGAGUGGCCUUCAAAGAACAGCAAUUGUUGGGCGUGUAAAGAUAGAGACAAGGCCUCUCAUUCUUUUGGAGGCAAAGGCAUGGAAGAUAUCAAUUAUUAGUUAAAGAAAGCCACCAUCUUCUCAGACUAUUCCAAUUAUAUGUGAUUGGAAAAGUGGAAAACAAUCCAUGAUUGCCUAACCUCUUAAUGCCAUAGAAGUUAAAAAACACAAAAAUUGUCGGGACAAGGCCACGAUGAUGAUGAUGAUGAUGGUGGUGGUGGUGGUGGUGCAGUAAUACAUAGUGCUGAGCAUCGACAGAAUGCAGCACAAUUCUUCUGUGCUUGUUUCUAUUUUCAAUUAUUGAUGAGUUGUUGAUGCCGAUAACAAACUUCUUUAGGAUACUUGGACUAUUGCAGAAUGAUUCAGAUGGUCAAACUGUCUACAGCAUCCUUUUACAGAAUGCAGAAACAGUUGGCUUAGUAUGUCCAUUCCAAGGAAGCGAACCAACAAAGACAG